CCUACGGGUGGCAGCAGUGAGGAAUAUUGGUCAAUGGGCGCGAGCCUGAACCAGCCAAGCAGCGUGAAGGAUGACGGUUCUACGGGUUGUAAACCUCUUUUAUAAAGGAAUAAAGUGAGGCACGUGUGCCUUUUUGUAUGUACUUUAUGAAUAAGGAUCGGCUAACUCCGUGCCAGCAGCCGCGGUAAUACGGAGGAUCCGAGCGUUAACCGGAUUUAUUGGGUUUAAAGGGUGCGUAGAGGGGUUGUUAAGUCAGUUGUGAAAGUUUGCGGCUUAACCGUAAAAUUGCAUUUGAAACUGGCAGCCUGGAGUGCGGGUGAGGUAGGCGGAAUUCGUGGUGUAGCGGUGAAAUGCUUAGAUAUCACGAAGAACUCCGAUUGCGAAGGCAGCCUACUGAACUGCCACUGACGUUGAUGCUCGAAAGUGUGGGUAUCAAACAGGAUUAGAUACCCUUGUAGUC
rnacentral:rRNA from 1 species